rnacentral:rRNA from 1 species
AUGUUAGCGGCGGACGGGUGAGUAACACGUGGGUAACCUACCUAUAAGACUGGGAUAACUCCGGGAAACCGGGGCUAAUACCGGAUAAUAUUUUGAACCGCAUGGUUCAAUAGUGAAAGACGGUUUCGGCUGUCACUUAUAGAUGGACCCGCGCCGUAUUAGCUAGUUGGUAAGGUAACGGCUUACCAAGGCGACGAUACGUAGCCGACCUGAGAGGGUGAUCGGCCACACUGGAACUGAGACACGGUCCAGACUCCUACGGGAGGCAGCAGCA